ensembl:lncRNA
CACUUUGUAAGUUAACGCCUCUAUCUUUUGGGCGUAGUAGAAGUAUAAAAAUGAUGUUUUGAAUGUUGAUCCUUAGACAUUGUGCGGCGACACGUGUCUCCAGAAGCUUCUGUAAUAAAUGGACAUAUAACUACGGUAAUUGCCCUGACUCCCUGUGUUUUAUUCUCCUUUCCAACAAACCAACUCGGGGAAGUGUUAUACUUCAACAAUUUGGGGGCUCGUUCCGGGAUUGGAAAGAGGAGAAGGAAUUCGAUCUUGUCCAGACAACCUACGCGAGAUUCACAGGUUCCGAGCCGGCUCAUGAUAAAGAUGGACUAACUGUCACGUUACCAGACGGGACAUCGACUUCAAGUGGAGGCCGUGGGUCUCCCUCCUCGAGCCGUACUUUCCUCUGCCAGACCCCCCACAUGUAACCCUAUUUUAUGAUCGGCAGGGCGAUGAGGUGUAUAGAGAGGGGUUUGGGGAUGUAGUGUGUGGGGACACGUGGCAGGUCGGGUCUAAAUUCAUACAUGUAGGCCCUGCAUCCUAAACACCAAGCAAAAGACCUGGGGCCCAUGGUUAAAAGGGCGGUCAAAUGUACUGAUUGGACACUCACUCAGGCGCCAAACGUAUGGUACUCACACAGCUGUAAGACGUAAAAAUGGUACACCUGCAUUGACCUGGCUAACGCUUUUUUCUGUCUCCCACCAGCAGAGGAACUUCGUGAUAUUUUUUCUUUCACACAUAGGGGCGACAAUGGCGGCCCCAACGGUGGCCGCCUGCAUCCAAGCUACAAUGAUGGUCCUCACCAGACUGGCUGAGAAAGGGUUCAAGGUGUCAAAAGAAAAGCUACAGCUGGUAAGGACGCAGGUCUCCUUUCUGGGCAGAGUAAUCUCGCAGAAGGGAGCGGGGCUUUCCCCAGCUCACCGCACAACCAGCCUCCACCAUCCUAAACCCACUACUGUUCAGGAAAUGCUAUCAUUCCUAGGGCUCACGGGGUACAGCCGCAAUUACAUCCCAAACUAUUCAGGGCUCACAGAGCCACUUAGAGCGCUAGUUAAGGAGCAGGGAAUGCGUAAACUUAAAGCCACUCUCAAUUGGACUUGCCCGGCCGACAAAGACUUCAUUUUGCUGAAACAACAACUAGCCACCGCAGCUGAUCUGGCCAUACCAGACUACACAACACCUUUUUUCUAGAUUUUUCUGAAACAGGAUGAGUCAUGAACGGGGUCCUGUUUCAGAAAAAGGGGGGAGAAGGCUCUGAGAGAGACGAGCUAGUGAGACAUCAAAAGGGGGCUUCCCUACAAGAGAAAACAAUUUGGCAACAGAGAGGAGCAACAGAGACGAGCGGGCUCUGGAGAGG